AUUGAACGCUGGCGGCAUGCCUUACACAUGCAAGUCGAACGGCAGCGGACCUUCGGGUGCCGGCGAGUGGCGAACGGGUGAGUAAUAUAUCGGAACGUACCUUUCAGUGGGGGAUAACGUAGCGAAAGUUACGCUAAUACCGCAUAUUCUGUGAGCAGGAAAGCAGGGGAUCGCAAGACCUUGCGCUGAUUGAGCGGCCGAUAUCAGAUUAGCUAGUUGGUGAGGUAAAGGCUCACCAAGGCGACGAUCUGUAGCGGGUCUGAGAGGAUGAUCCGCCACACUGGAACUGAGACACGGUCCAGACUCCUACGGGAGGCAGCAGUGGGGAAUUUUGGACAAUGGGCGCAAGCCUGAUCCAGCCAUGCCGCGUGAGUGGAGAAGGCCUCGGUUGUAAGACGUCUUCGGUCCGGGUACGAAAGUACGCACGGGUUAAGUA
rnacentral:rRNA from 1 species